rnacentral:rRNA from 1 species
UACGGGGGGGGCAAGCGUUGUUCGGAAUUACUGGGCGUAAAGGGCGCGUAGGCGGUGCUCUAAGUCGGAUGUGAAAACUCUGGGCUCAACCCAGAGCCUGCAUCCGAAACUGGAGUGCUAGAGUUCUGGAGGGGGUAGCGGAAUUCCUGGUGUAGCGGUGAAAUGCGUAGAUAUCAGGAGGAACACCGGUGGUGUAGACGGCUUUCUGGACCGUAACUGACGCUGAGACACGAAAGCGUGGGUAGCAAACAGG